ensembl:lncRNA
CGAAGCUUUGUUGCUUAGGUGCUUAAAAAAAAAAAGCAUUCGAUAUUAUACACUGACUGGAGUUCUCACAGAAUGAAUUGCACUUUUCUCUUUUGUCCCCUUUGUGAUCAUUCAAAUGAAUUUGCUCCGCUAAACCUCUGUUAUUUCCUGAGCCCUGGGUUAAGCGCCGAGUCCGGGAUUAUACUUCUUUGGGAACACACAAACGGACAGCUGCGGCCAUCAGCGAGGCCUUGUUCUUCCUAUAACGCUGCUUUCUGGUCCAUACAGAGUUUUCUCGGAGGACACUGCAGUGCGCUGGCAGCACGUACAGCAGAUCUCUCCACAAGCAUACCCUGGCGUACUUGAGUAUGCUGAAAAUAUAACGGCAUUAGACUAGAAUUAGGAUUAAGAUAAAACUGCAGGCUACAGUUUCACAGUCGCUGGUGAGAUUAUAGAUUACGGUCCUCACAAGCAGAAAAAAAAAAAGAGUAUCCUCACACAUGCAAGGAUAUGGAAAGGAGAGCAUGAGUAAGCUUGUUUCCCUACCAAGUUUUGCAGCGUGCUUGUACAUAGGUGGCCAUGUGGUUAAGUGUCUGUGAAUGCUGCCAGUAAAUAGAUGCUCCAAUAUGUCUCUGAAUAUGUCUUGGCAGCCAUAUGAACCACUCUGCUGCCGAGUGGGAGAAGUGCAGGAGAGUAGGAGGGAGAGAAGAUGGGAGGCCUGACCUUGCAGAUGAUUCAGUCAAUGGAGUAAUCACAACUAUUCCUCUGAGUCCGCACUACAAACGAGAGGUUACUGACGAGGCAGCGCUCACUUUUGCUGUCUCUUCUUCUUAUUCUCCACAUUUAUCUCCUCCGUCUGUCUGUCAGUUUGCAUCUUUUUUUUUGCCUGGGCGGAAUUGUUGGAUCUGGUUGUGUAGAUGAAAGUGGUGGUUGCUGUUGUUGUUGUUGGUGGUGUGUGUGUGUUUGGAUGGGCGUGCAUGUGUUUAUGUAAAGGAACUUUGACACAGCAGCUGUUUUAACCAACGUGUUUCAUGUCUCAUGAACUGUAGAGACGCCUGGAUAUCUAAUGAUUUUUUCCCCCUCUCUCCUAUGCAAAUUAGAUGAUAUCCCAUAAUGCACAUUUAUUAUUUGUGUUGUGUAAUUAAUGUUUGUUCUCCAUCUCUGUGACAUAUGGAUAUUUUUUUCCCAUAAAGCUAUUAUUUCGGGAGAUUUUUUUUAAAGUCCUGGGAUAAAUGAGAAAGAUAUUGCUAUAUUUUCAUUGUGUUUUUACAGCCUUCCUUUAUUGUGUUUUAUUAUCCACAACAUGGUACUAUGGUAGUGAAAAAAACUGAAAAAAAAAAUUAUUAAUAUGUAAGCACUGUGCAAUUUUCCUUUUUACGACAGUGUGUCAUUAAGAAAUGUUUCUGCUGUUCUCUGUACAUACAAUAUGAACCAUUUUUUCAGCGAAUAAAUUGAGGGUAGUUUCAGUCCUUGUAACAAUAA